rnacentral:rRNA from 1 species
GACGAACGCUGGCGGCGUGCUUAACACAUGCAAGUCGAACGGUGAAGCGCCUUCCUUUUUGGUGGGUGUGGAUGAGUGGCGAACGGGUGAGUAACACGUGAGUAACCUGCCCCCUUCUUCUGGAUAACCGCAUGAAAGUGUGGCUAAUACGGGAUAUUCUGGGUCUGUCGCAUGAUGGGUCUGGGAAAGAUAUUGUUUCGGUGGGGGAUGGGCUCGCGGCCUAUCAGCUUGUUGGUGGGGUGAUGGCCUACCAAGGCGGUGACGGGUAGCCGGCCUGAGAGGGUGGGCGGUCACACUGGGACUGAGACACGGCCCAGACUCCUACGGGAGGCAGCAGGGGGGAAUAUUGCACGAUGGGAGCAAGCCUGAUGCAGCGACGCCGCGUGAGGGAUGGAGGCCUUCGGGUUGUGAACCUCUUUCGCCAGUGAAGCAGGCCUGCCUCGUUUGUGGGUGGGUUGACGGUAGCUGGAGAAGAAGCGCCGGCUAACUACGUG